UUGGCCCUCUCCACUCCGUUAUCUUAGAAGUCUGGACUCGGACUUCUUCUGGUUACCCACCCACUUCCGGCGUUAUGGAGCGCCGGUCACUCACAUAAGAUGUUCCUCGGGCCCACGCGAUGUUGGCGUGGCAGCUGGCGUAUUGCGUCAACUCCCAUGAAACGAUCAACCCCUUCUCCAAUUGUGUGUCUGUAGGGUGCCGCCUAGCAUUACCGGAAGGCCAAAUCUUGUCGCCCUUUUCGCUGCGUCGCCGUCGAGACGAGAGAAGGGAAGGGGUGAGGAGAUGGCGAUCUGGGCCUUAUUGCUGACCUUGGUAUCGACGCUUCUGGCCCUAACGCUCGCCUCACUCUUCGCGGCCGUGAUCUCGGGGCGGAGGCGGCGGCGGAGAGCCGUGGGGUUCUUCCAUCCCUACACCAACGACGGCGGCGGCGGGGAGAGGGUGCUCUGGUGCGCCGUGCGGGCCGUCCAGGAGGAGAAUCCCGAUCUCGACUGUGCCGUCUACACCGGCGACGACGCCUCGCCGCAGAGCCUCGCAGCCCGGGCCUUCGAUCGCUUCGGUGUCAAGCUCCUUCGCCCACCUCAGGUUGUUCGCUUGUCUAGAAGGAAGUGGAUUGAUGAACGGACCUAUCCCCAUUUCACUAUGAUUGGACAGAGUCUUGGUUCCGUUUAUCUUUCGUGGGAGGCUCUACGCAAAUUUACACCCCAAUAUUAUUUUGACACGAGUGGUUAUGCUUUUACAUACCCACUUGCUCGGGUGUUUGGGUGCAAAGUUAUUUGCUAUACCCACUAUCCAACUAUAAGCUCAGACAUGGUCUCUCGUGUUCGCCAACGUAGUUCAAUGUACAACAACGAUGUUCUGGUUGCCAAAAGCUUUUGGCUAUCCCGAUGCAAAGUCCUCUACUAUACAUUCUUUAGUUGGUUGUAUGGGUUGGUUGGAUCCUGUGCACAUCUUGCAAUGGUGAAUUCAUCGUGGACAAGAUCUCAUAUUGAAAGGUUGUGGAGGAUUCCUGAACGUAUUAGGAGAGUAUAUCCUCCAUGUGAUACUUCAGCUCUUCUGAUGCUUCCUUUGGAAAGGCCAGCCAAAUCUCCUGUCAUUAUAUCUGUUGCCCAAUUUCGCCCAGAAAAGGCUCAUGCUCUUCAGCUGGAGGCAUUCUCACUUGCUGUUCAAAGACUAGACCUCGAGUUACCUAGACCAAAGCUCCAAUUUGUCGGUAGUUGUCGAAAUAAGGAGGACCAAGCAAGAUUACAAAAGCUUAAAGAUAGAUCUAGUGAAUUAGACAUGGAUGAAUUUGUGGAGUUCCACAAGGAUGUGACAUACAGGGAGUUGGUGCAGCUUCUGGGAGGUGCUGUAGCCGGGCUUCAUUCUAUGAUAGAUGAACAUUUUGGCAUCAGUGUCGUGGAGUACAUGGCUGCUGGUGCUAUUCCUAUUGCCCAUAAUUCAGCUGGGCCAAAAAUGGAUAUUGUUCUAGAAGAAGAUGGACAUCAAACAGGAUUUCUAGCUUCAGACAAAGAAGAAUAUGCUGAUGCUAUCCUUGAGAUCUUAAAGAUGCCAGAGACUAAGAGGCUUGCUAUCGUGGCAGCUGCAAGAAAGCAUGCUCAGAGGUUUUCAGAGCAAAAAUUCUACGAAGAUUUUAAGGCUGCAAUCCGCCCAAUCAUUCGUGGCUCCAGUGCUCCUUCAUGAAACGUAGUGGAUCACUUCUCAUAUGUUCCUUCUUCUUGAAAAGAAAGGGGUUGGAGUAGAUGACUGAGUAUAGGCACAGAUUGUAACUGCUUGGCACUGCUUAUGCCUGGGCCAUAAUCUUCUAGGCUUCCAACUGAGAAAUGGAAAAACUACAGAGUGGGCAGCUCCUUUUGAAUUUCUUAUUGAAGAACCAGUAAGGGAGUUCAUUUAUCAUGUGCUCUGGCUAUGGCAAUAUCCAUGAAAACAAGGUUCGAACUUGGAUCAACGGUUGACAUGCCAUAAGAUUCUAUCUAAUCACCAUUCUCGAGUUGCAGUUUACAUUAACUUCUGAUAGCAGAUGCUUUGAAUACUUAAAACUAAGUGGAUGCUUUGAAUACUUAAACCAUGUAUUAUAUCCAGGACAAGGUAGCUCAUGAUGCUAGAUAAGGGCAACAUCCAUGAUUUAGUCGCAUCUCAUUUCUAUAAUUAGGAAUUAGCAUUUUUGUAAAUGCUUUCGAAGCAACUUAUCUCAUAUACUAUAGUUCACUCAAAUUGAAUUGCUGAGAUGGCUACAAUUACGCAUA